GAAUUUUUUUAAAUUGAGGUAGAAUUGAUACACAUUGUUACAUUAGUUUCAGGUGUACAACACAGUGAUUGGACGUUACACAUUAUGCUAUGCUCGCCACAAGUUGUAGCUACUAUUGGUCACCGCACAACGCUAUUAUGAUAUCACUGAUUAUAUUUCCUAUGCAGUGCCUUUUAUCCCUGUGAUUUACUCAUUCCAUAAUUGGAAGUCCUCAGGGAUUUUUUUAAAGCUGGUCUCCAUUUGUUUUUUAGUUUAGUAAGUUAAACAAAUAAUAAUAAUAAAUAAAAAAAUAAAAGGUAGAAAAAAAAAAGAGAUGGAGCCUGCCAGCUUCAACAAGGUAGAGGAAGAGAGUAAACAUGGCUCUCACUAAGCUCCCUCCCAGCGAGUAUCUCAGCUUCUGAGCCCAGUGCUUUAAAAUCAGGAAAUGAGCCUCUUUCCCAUAAAGUCUGGGCACUUUUCAAACAGCUCCUGUGUGCUGGGCUUUGGAGCAGGUGAGUCUGCGCACGGGCCCUUUAAGAGCCAUUCCUCAGUUCGCACAGCCCUAUGGGUCUCACAGAGGAGAGCUUGUGUGGUUUCCAAGCUGGGUGUCUUGGAGGCUGUCUCUCAGGGCAGGUGUUAAGAGGUGGGGUGUGCCAUGUGAGAUAUGAAAACUUAGCUCCUCAGAGAGAAGCUCCGGGUUCUGCAUUCCUUCUGGUCGGCGAGAUUGUGUUUCUCCCUCUCCUGGCCGCUUCAGUGUAUUCUCCCUCUCCUUCCCAGUGUGAAGGAGUGGCUCUGAUAGUUUUUAGGUUUUUUUUUUUUUCCCCCCAGUGGAAAUUGUUCCAUAUGUAGCUUUAGAUUUAGUGUCUGUGGGAGGAGGUGAGUUGAGGACCUUCCUAUGUGGCCAUGUGAACUGGACUUGGACCUCACUGGUGAACUUUUUCAGAGAGAAGGAUCUCUGUCUACUGGCUCCUGCUUUGCUCCCUGUGCAGCAGAUAAGUGCCCAGGAAGUAAUGCUCUGCAGGCUUCCAGGGACAGGCUUCCAACAAUGACCAGAGGAGCCCUCAACCACUGAUCUUCAGCAACACCGUGGUGAAUAAGAGAAUCCACAGAGGGGAAAAGUGCAUACUGAAUGAAUCCACUUAUAUGAAGUUCAAAAACAAGUAAGAUUAAUCUAUGUCUUAUAGAAUCAGAGCAGUGGUUAUCUAUCUAUCUAUCUAUCUAUCUAUCUAUCUAUCUAUCUAUCUAUCUAUUUAGUGAUUGGAGAUUGGUUGGAAGGAAGUGUAAGGGAAUUUUCUGUGGUAAUGGAAAUAUUACAUAUUUUAUUUUAUUUUUAUUUAUUUGAAAUAUUAUGUAUUUUAAUUAGGUGGAAGUUAUAGCAGCAUA